AUUGAACGCUGGCGGCAUGCCUUACACGUGCAAGUCGAACGGCAGCACGGGAGCAAUCCUGGUGGCGAGUGGCGAACGGGUGAGUAAUAUAUCGGAACGUGCCCAGUCGUGGGGAUAACGUAGCGAAAGCUACGCUAAUACCGCAUACGAUCUACGGAUGAAAGCGGGGGGAUCGCAAGACCUCGCGCGAUUGGAGCGGCCGAUAUCAGAUUAGGUAGUUGGUGAGGUAAAGGCUCACCAAGCCGACGAUCUGUAGCUGGUCUGAGAGGACGACCAGCCACACUGGGACUGAGACACGGCCCAGACUCCUACGGGAGGCAGCAGUGGGGAAUUUUUGGACAAUGGGCGCAAGCCUGAUCCAGCAAUGCCGCGUGCAGGAUGAAGGCCU
rnacentral:rRNA from 1 species